UACGGGGGGGGCAAGCGGUUGUUCGGAAUUACUGGGCGUAAAGGGCUCGUAGGCGGCCAACUAAGUCGGACGUGAAAUCCCCAGGACUCAACCUGGGAACUGCAUCCGAUACUGGAUGGCUUGAAUUCGGGAGAGGGAUGCAGAAUUCCAAGGUGUAGCGGUGAAAUGCGUAGAUAUCGAGAGGAACACCUGCGGCGAAGGCGGGUUGCCUGGGCUGACACGUGACGCUGAUGACGCGAAAGCCAGGGGAGCAAACGGG
rnacentral:rRNA from 1 species